GGGGAUAACAUUUAGAAAUAUUUGCUAAUACCCUAUAUGCUUCACAGUGAAAGAAUUUAUUCGCCUAAAGAGGAGCUUGCGUCUGAUUAGCUAGUUGGUAGGGUAAAGGCCUACCAAGGCGACGAUCAGUAGUUGGUCUGAGAGGACGGCCAGCCACAUUGGAACUGAGACACGGUCCAGACUCUUACGGGAGGCAGCAGUGAGGAAUUUUCUGCAAUGGGCGAAAGCCUGACAGAGCAAUACCGCGUGAGGGAUGACUGCCUACGGGUUGUAAACCUCUUUUCUCAAGGAGGAAGAUCUGACGUUACUUGAGGAAUAAGCAUCGGCUAACCCUGUGCCAGCAGCCGCGGUAAUACAGGGGAUGCAAGUGUUAUCCGGAAUUAUUGGGCGUAAAGCGUCUGCAGGUUGAUCUAUAAGUCUUUUGUCAAAUCUUUGGGCUUAACCC
rnacentral:rRNA from 1 species